CCUACGGGUGGCAGCAGUGAGGAAUAUUGGUCAAUGGACGAGAGUCUGAACCAGCCAAGUAGCGUGAAGGAUGACUGCACUAUGGGUUGUAAACUUCUUUUAUAUGGGAAUAAAACGUUCCACGUGUGGGAUUUUGUAUGUACCAUAUGAAUAAGGAUCGGCUAACUCCGUGCCAGCAGCCGCGGUAAUACGGAGGAUCCGAGCGUUAUCCGGAUUUAUUGGGUUUAAAGGGAGCGUAGGUGGAUUGUUAAGUCAGUUGUGAAAGUUUGCGGCUCAACCGUAAAAUUGCAGUUGAAACUGGCAGUCUUGAGUACAGUAGAGGUGGGCGGAAUUCGUGGUGUAGCGGUGAAAUGCUUAGAUAUCACGAAGAACUCCGAUUGCGAAGGCAGUUCACUGGACUGCAACUGACACUGAGGCUCGAAAGUGUGGGUAUCAAACAGGAUUAGAUACCCCUGUAGUC
rnacentral:rRNA from 1 species